AUGACAACUGCUUGCAGUCUUCAUAAGAAAACCUAAAAAAUAAUGUACCAUCUGGGUGUUCAUCUAUAAUAUAAGGACUGCCUUGAUACAUCACCUGCUGAAGAUACACCCCUGAAUCCAGUUUAGCAUGCUGCUUUAAAAAGUGAAUAUCUGGAUGAUUGGGGAAGACCAGGGAGGUUGGAAUGGGGUGUGAUGCCUUCCUACACUCAGAUGGAUUGCUGCCCACCAGGGUGUGUUGG
rnacentral:lncRNA from 1 species